UAGUCCACGCCGUAAACGAUGAUUACUCGUUGUUGGCGAUACACAGUCAGCGACCAAGCGAAAGCAUUAAGUAAUCCACCUGGGGAGUACGUUCGCAAGAAUGAAACUCAAAGGAAUUGACGGGGGCCCGCACAAGCGGAGGAACAUGUGGUUUAAUUCGAUGAUACGCGAGGAACCUUACCUGGGCUUAAAUGUAGAACGACCGCCGCCGAAAGGUGGCUUUCCUUCGGGACGAACUACAAGGUGCUGCAUGGUUGUCGUCAGCUCGUGCCGUGAGGUGUCGGGUUAAGUCCCAUAACGAGCGCAACCCCUAUCACUAGUUGCCAGCGAGUAAUGUCGGGAACUCUAGUGAAACUGCCGGUGUAAACCGUGAGGAAGGUGGGGAUGACGUCAAAUCAGCACGGCCCUUAUGUCCAGGGCUACACACGUGUUACAAUGGCCAGUACAAAGGGCAGCUACUUGGUGACAAGAUGCUAAUCUCUAAAGCUGGUCUCAGUUCGGGUAGAAGUCUGCAAUUCGACUUC
rnacentral:rRNA from 1 species